rnacentral:rRNA from 1 species
GAUGAACGCUGGCGGCGUGCCUAAUACAUGCAAGUCGAGCGAACAGACGAGGAGCUUGCUCCUCUGACGUUAGCGGCGGACGGGUGAGUAACACGUGGAUAACCUACCUAUAAGACUGGGAUAACUUCGGGAAACCGGCGCUAAUACCGGAUAAUAUAUUGAACCGCAUGGUUCAAUAGUGAAAGACGGUUUUGCUGUCACUUAUAGAUGGAUCCGCGCCGCAUUAGCUAGUUGGUAAGGUAACGGCUUACCAAGGCAACGAUGCGUAGCCGACCUGAGAGGGUGAUCGGCCACACUGGAACUGAGGCACGGUCCAGACACCUACGGGGGGCAGCAGUAGGGAAUCUUCCGCAAUGGGCGAAAGCCUGACGGAGCAACGCCGCGUGAGUGAUGAAGGUCUUCGGAUCGUAAAACUCUGUUAUUAGGGAAGAACAAAUGUGUAAGUAACUAUGCACGUCUUGACGGUACCUAAUCAGAAAGCCACGGCUAACUACGUG